CGUGAUGAGGCUCACCAUGGGGUCUCCAGCGAGGUGUCUGCAGAGCUUCGAUGGAUUCGGUGCUUAAGAGAUGAGAAACUUCGUUCUACCAGUAAUGGAAGAAACGCUUCACCUUAAUCACCCUCCUUGUCUUUCCCCUCCCUUUGACUAUGUAGGACUCGAUAACACAACAUUUGAAAGAUUCUACUCUAUGAAAUAAGCACAGAUUGAAAUUCAGUAUUUGCCAAGGAAUAUUAAACAUGAAUUACUGGGAUUGAGGAA
rnacentral:lncRNA from 1 species